rnacentral:lncRNA from 1 species
AAAAAGCUCAAAUGUAACAUUUUAUCCUCUAUUUUUAAAAAUUUAAAUUUUUAUUAGUAGCUACAGAUGAAGUAAAUGGAAUUUUGAGAGGAAUUUCCACUAUCUACUUCUAAUGGGCAAAAUACCAUGCUACCUGGACACAGCAGAAAACCGGGAGGCUACUUACUAUAAUAACAAGUGGGGAUUAAGUGGAAGCCUUGAAAUUGAUCUGAGAGAGAAGAUGUCUAUGUGCCUUAUAUGUGAUAUAUCAUGGAAAUGAAGAAGUGCAGAGGGUUGAGGAGGUGGUAUCUGGUUCUCCAGGUGAAUCAUAACACAAUUGCAGAUAUGCAGAUCUUACCUAGACAUUGUGAUCUGGUGAAGGUAUAACUCAGUGCAUGUGAGGGUAAGUAUACACCUUUAUCUCUCCAAAACUGGGAUUAAAAAAAUAAACCAGGAGGAACCAUU